UACAGAGGGGGCAAGCGUUGUUCGGAAUUACUGGGCGUAAAGGGCGCGUAGGCGGCCGCCUAAGUCAGACGUGAAAUCCCUCGGCUCAACCGGGGAACUGCGUCCGAUACUGGAAGGCUUGAAUCCGGGAGAGGGAUGUGGAAUUCCAGGUGUAGCGGUGAAAUGCGUAGAUAUCUGGAGGAACACCGGUGGCGAAGGCGACAUCCUGGACCGGUAUUGACGCUGAGGCGCGAAAGCCAGGGGAGCAAACGGG
rnacentral:rRNA from 1 species